UAUUACGGCCGUCUCCUCCGCGGCCGUCGUCGGGAGGGUUAAUGGAGCCGAAAGGAGAUUAAGCCCGUGGGAGAAACGCGGCUUUUGUUCGCCGAUGGACUGACUUACCUUCCUCGGUCAAGUGAGCGCCACCCAUUUUCGUGCCGCCGUCUGGAAGAAAAAAAGAGAACGAACGGGCUCUAGAAAUGUGGAUGUAAUUGAGGGCCUAAGUGGGUGAGCUACGAUCAGAACAUAAAAACUUGCAGAAUGAAUUUCUUUUUCAUAAAAAAAUGUGGUAAAAAAGGGCACCUCGACUUUUUAAAUCUGAUCUCGAGACGAAUUGAACGACCAGCAGCACCAUAACCUUAAACUUCGAAGCGACGCUGGUGAAACAAUUUUUGGCCCACGGUUCGCCGGUUCGCCAGACCAUCGUGCGCCGUUCGCCGCCGUCUCUCGGUCACCGUGAUCCUUUUUCGCGCGUUAUUAAUUUUCCUCGGCGACCAGCAGCGACGGCAACGGCGACGAUUUUGUUUCGCAAUUGCGAUCGCGGGAACGCGAGAAGGAAGGAAGUUGUACGACGCGCGGUGGAUACGCUCGAAGCAAAUUGAAUAUCACGGCGUGCAAUUCAUUUCUUCUCCGAGGAACGAGAGAUUGAUCCACAAUGGGGUUUAAGACGGUCAAAUGAAAUAUUCCCGACAGCGAACGCGUUAAGACGUAAUCGUAUUUCUUUGAGCGCGACAGGAAAUAAGAUUACCCGGGCUUUCAUUGCCGGGGCUCCUGCAGUUGAUAUUGUCCGGGGCUUCCGGGCAUAACUGGAGCGACAAUUAUCUCUGCCGAGAAAGCCAGCUGUAUUUACGGUCAAUCGACAGGCGCGGGAAAUAUAGUAGCGCGCAAAAAAAGG